UACGGGGGGGGCAAGCGUUGUUCGGAGUUACUGGGCGUAAAGAGUGCGUAGGCGGUUUUCUAAGUUUGGUGUGAAAUCUCCCGGCUUAACUGGGAGGGUGCGCCGAAGACUGGAAGGCUUGAGUAUGGGAGAGGUAAGCGGAAUUCCUGGUGUAGCGGUGAAAUGCGUAGAUAUCAGGAGGAACACCUGCGGUGUAGACGGCUUACUGGACCAUCACUGACGCUGAGGCACGAAAGCGUGGGUAGCAAACAGG
rnacentral:rRNA from 1 species